rnacentral:rRNA from 1 species
CGAAAGCCUGACGGAGCAAUACCGCGUGAGGGAGGAAGGCUCUUGGGUUGUAAACCUCUUUUCUCAGGGAAGAAAAAAAUGACGGUACCUGAGGAAUAAGCAUCGGCUAACUCCGUGCCAGCAGCCGCGGUAAUACGGAGGAUGCAAGCGUUAUCCGGAAUGAUUGGGCGUAAAGCGUCCGCAGGUGGCUGUGUAAGUCUGCUGUUAAAGAGUGAGGCUCAACCUCAUAAGAGCAGUGGAAACUACAUAGCUAGAGUACGUUCGGGGCAGAGGGAAUUCCUGGUGUAGCGGUGAAAUGCGUAGAGAUCAGGAAGAACACCGGUGGCGAAAGCGCUCUGCUGGGCCGUAACUGACACUCAUGGACGAAAGCUAGGGGAGCG